AGUGCAAUGCUGGGUCAUAUGGUAGGAACAGGUUUUUCAAGAAAGUGCCAAAGUGUUUUCCAGAAUGUCUUUGACAUUUUGUAUUUCCUCUAGCAAU
rnacentral:pre_miRNA from 1 species